UAGGGAAUCUUCCACAAUGGACGAAAGUCUGAUGGAGCAAUGCCGCGUGAGUGAAGAAGGUUUUCGGAUCGUAAAACUCUGUUGUGAGGGAAGAACAAGUACGAGAGUAACUGCUCGUACCUUGACGGUACCUCAUUAGAAAGCCACGGCUAACUACGUG
rnacentral:rRNA from 1 species